AUGCAGAAUCUGUAAAGCUCAGGAGGGAUAGCACCUUAUACUGAUCGUGCUCAUAUAUACUUGGCGCUAUCUAUCCUGAGCUUCAUGGCUUCUUCAU
rfam:Cajanus cajan CcLG02_640, whole genome shotgun sequence.